CGGAUAAGCACAAUAGAAUAUCAUUCAGGCUUCUGACCCCCCUGGGCAGCCUCUGCCCUCUGCCUGGGGGCUUCUCCUGUGGUUACUUGCUUUUGCCCAUGCGUGGUACCAGGCAGGGAGUGGGGAGAUGUACAGGGACCCUUGACAGAGCAGAGUCCUUAAAGGCCUCAGGAAGAAGCACACAGGACAGAACAGGAACAUGAUAGGGACCCGUAAGUGUCUGUUGGAACAGAGGUUAGAAGUCAGGCUCCUUUUCUACCUUCUUAGCCAAAGCCAACUUCAUGUGUUAAUUUCAUGUGUUGUCUGCCUGUCCCAAUGUCACCCCCUGGAGGUGAUGUCAGGGGCUGCACCAGGGAUGCUGACCAGGCUCCAAAGGAAGUGAGGGGCCCUUGAGCCCUGGACAGAGAUGGGCUGACCUCCAGGCUGAGGGGCUGGUCAGCCCUGAUCCCGAUCUCUGUGGGUGUCAGGCUUCUUGACUCCAUCCCAGUGCAGGGGAAGCCCCAGGAGAGGAUAGUUAUUGUCCAGAAGAUUCCUGAUCCAACAUCAGGAGAACUGUCUACCCAGGGGGUAGACUCUGUCUACCUCUGGUGGUGCUCUCUGUUCCCAGAGUUCCAAAGGAAGGGCCAAUGAAGGGUCUCUUGAGGCUUUUGGGAGAGGACAUGUCAGAAUGCCCUGUUCCCCCAUCACAGCACUGAGGCCUGUUGCAUUCAAGUCAUAGGUGUCCCUCCUUCUGCUCUAGGCCUCCCUAUCGGGCCCAGGAGCUGGAGCAGCUCCAGCUGGAGACUCAGUCAGGGAGUCUGGCCUCCGUGGGACCCUCGGCUCCUCUGAGACGGAAGCAAAUUCAGAUCCUGGGUUCUCCUGUGCCAUCCUGGACUGGAAGUUCCUCUUGUUCCCCAGGACUCCUUGGGUGGCAUCAAGAUCCAGAGUUUGUGCCAGGUCAGAUCGCUGAGAGAAGAGGAAGGACACAGUCUGCCCACCCAGGAUCCCCAGGGAGAGAAGUGGCUCACAAGGUAGAGAUGGAGUCGGGGAUGUCUGUUUCCGUGGAUGAAAGAGUAUUUGAUGCUCACAGUUAGGAGACCUCUGUCCUCCCUCCUGAAUCGAGGAGGGGUAAAGACCGUCCCUGGGACAGCCUCAGGCACUUGCUGGCCUCCUCCCAUGCUGAUGCCAGUACCCUGUGUGUCUACAGAGAACAGACUCUGACCGC
rnacentral:lncRNA from 1 species